AUUGAACGCUGGCGGAAUGCUUUACACAUGCAAGUCGAGCGGCAGCGCGGGGCAACCUGGCGGCGAGCGGCGAACGGGUGAGUAACAGAUCGGAACGUAUCCUGGAGUGGGGGAUAGGCCCGGCGAAAGCCGGAUUAAAUACCGCAUACGAUCGUUUGGAAUGAAAGUGGGGGACCGCAAGGCCUCGACGCUCAAGGAGCGGCCGAU
rnacentral:rRNA from 1 species